CUCUGCUCAGAUCUCCAUCAGCACCGUCAUCCGACUCUGAGAGUUUGAAAAUUAAGGAAAUGUUUACGCCUGGACAAAACAGACAGGACAUAGGCUCCAAGCAAAAUCAUUUCUGUUUUUAUGGCUACAAUUUAAAGACUUUUGGCUUUAAUUUUCACUGGUAUCUGCUUUCUGAUGGACUCUGAAGAAAAUGAAAGUGUUGCUCCUGAAA